rfam:Aspergillus niger DNA, contig: scaffold669_008, strain: An76, whole genome shotgun sequence.
GCGUUAAUGGUGUAGCGGUAACAUUCAACCCUUCCACUCCUCUUGUGAGGUUGAGCUCUGGGUUCGACUCCCAGUUAACGCA